CUUGAGGGAGCCGAGCCACAGGGGCCGGUCGUCGGGCCGGUCCUGACCGUAGGUGGCGAUGAUCGCCUGUGCCUC
rfam:Streptomyces ipomoeae 91-03 gcontig_1108499708047, whole genome shotgun sequence.